rnacentral:lncRNA from 7 species
GCCGCCGCCGCUGUCGCAUCACAGGCCUCUCUUCCGGUUUCCCCCCAAACCCGUCCGAGAGGCAGUCAUCCCGCCGCGAUGAGGGCCAAGUGGAAGAAGAAGCGGAUGAGGCGGCUUAAGAGGAAGCGCCGAAAGAUGAGGCAGAGGUCCAAGUAGGCAGAUUCAUGGAGUGUCCCCGCCUGGAGUCUCUCUGCGUUCGGUUGUUGUUUACUGAGUAAUUUUAGUUUUUUUACUAAGACAGUCUGUUAUGGAUCAGAAAUUCCUUGCGUUUGUCCGUGGUCUAGAUAUUGCAUCAAGUGUUCUGCACUUUAUUCUUUAGUUGUUAGUUGAUGCGAGUGCUUGUCAAUGGUUGUGGACUUCGAAAUUGCUAUAUGUAGGUAGGGCCUGAGCCUGACGUGCAUAUAUAGGGACACUCGUUACCAAAGUCGUUUAGAAAACCGUUUGUUGCUACCAAAUCGUUAGCAGACAAUGGUAAGCUGACCUGACAUGCAUAUAUGUUCGUGGCUUGUGGUCGGAAUUAGGCAACUAUGAAUCAGUUUUUGGCAGCUAAAUGUUUCCCAACUUAGGCCGGAGUACUUUAAAUUUUAUUCCUUUCUAGUUUCUUCUAUAAAAAAGGUCCAGCUCCAUGUGCUUUGUUGUAACUUAAAAAAUGAAACUAUUUAUAAAAUUUUUGAAGCUCU